rnacentral:snoRNA from 1 species
GGUUAUGAUGAAUUACCACACUUCACGACGGUCUACUGUACGGUUUGACUUGUAAUCAACCGUAGUGAUGAAUAACUUGGCCUUGACCGGCCGUGGUUACUGAGU